CCUACGGGAGGCAGCAGUGGGGAAUAUUGCACAAUGGGGGGAACCCUGAUGCAGCGACGCCGCGUGGGUGAAGGAGUAUUUCGGUAUGUAAAGCCCUAUCAGCAGGGAAGAACAAUGACGGUACCUGACUAAGAAGCACCGGCUAAAUACGUGCCAGCAGCCGCGGUAAUACGGAGGAUCCGAGCGUUAUCCGGAUUUAUUGGGUGUAAAGGGGGCGCAGACGGCGAUGCAAGCCAGGAGUGAAAGCCCGGGGCCCAACCCCGGGACUGCUCUUGGAACUGCGUGGCUGGAGUGCAGGAGGGGCAGGCGGAAUUCCUGGUGUAGCGGUGAAAUGCGUAGAUAUCAGGAGGAACACCGGUGGCGAAGGCGGCCUGCUGGACUGCAACUGACGUUGAGGCCCGAAAGCGUGGGGAGCAAACAGGAUUAGAUACCCUGGUAGUC
rnacentral:rRNA from 1 species